GACGAACGCUGGCGGCGUGCCUAACACAUGCAAGUCGAGUGAGUGAAUCUCCUUCGGGAGUGAAGCUAGCGGCGGACGGGUGAGUAACACGUGGGCAACCUGCCUCAUAGAGGGGAAUAGCCUUCCGAAAGGAAGAUUAAUACCGCAUAAGAUUGUAGCUUCGCAUGAAGUAGCAAUUAAAGGAGCAAUCCGCUAUGAGAUGGGCCCGCGGCGCAUUAGCUAGUUGGUGAGGUAACGGCUCACCAAGGCGACGAUGCGUAGCCGACCUGAGAGGGUGAUCGGCCACAUUGGGACUGAGAGACGGCCCAGACUCCUACGGGAGGCAGCAGUGGGGAAUAUUGCACAAUGGGGGAAACCCUGAUGCAGCAACGCCGCGUGAGUGAUGACGGCCUUCGGGUCGUAAAGCUCUGUCUUCAGGGACGAUAAUGACGGUACCUGAGGAGGAAGCCACGGCUAACUACGUGCCAGCCGCCGCCGUAA
rnacentral:rRNA from 1 species